UAAACCCCACCCAGCCAGCCCCUAGCGCAGACGGCGACGAGCUGGAUGGAGCGCGCCUUGCCUUGCUGGCCUGGGCCGCAGCUCCUCCGAAGAACCGGGGCGCCCACGCGAGAAUCUCCCCGCCAGGUUCUCUCUUCAGGGAUGACAUCACCAUUCACCUCCUUGUCUUCAAGGACCACCUGUCGAUGCCCAGCUGCUGCCAAGGUGCUUGCUGCUCAUCUCCACCUUAUGAAGACCUCAGGAGCGCCCCUUUUUGGAUCCCACCAGCAUACCAAGCAGCCACUGGCAGAGACCCCCCAGGACCAGGACCACGGAGGCUGAAGAGGACCAGAACUGACCAACCAGCUGUUCCUCUUGGCUAAAGACUUAAUCCAAUGCCCUAGUGAGGGGGCAUUGGACAUUCACCCCUGACCUUUGCUAUGCUUGUGCUUAUUGCUAUGAAUACUGUCCUGUAAGUCUCUGCUUGUGUUAAUAUGCCAGCGACCUGGAGUGUUUCCCUCCCCAAGAAUGUGUCAGUUUUUCUCAGCUGACCCUAUUGUUGCCCGGGUGAUGUCCUGAAUAGAAGGACCCCUUUGGGAACUUCUCAGGAGGGGGACCUGGGCCCAGGGCUCCGCCAGCAUCUCACUGGCAAUUCCAAAGCCGUGGUGGGCUUCUGGAAUGAGCAUGAGCCCUGAUGUCAUGGGCAUCCUUGUCCUUUCCGGGAAUGGUGAUGAGAAGAGCAACCUCCUAGGGUUGUUGUGAGUAUUAAAUGAGCCAAAUUAGCCUGGGGCAGGGCUGGGCAUGAGGAGGUGUUCAGCAAACAUUUGUUGAAAGUUUGAUAGGUCAGUCCAUCCCCAUCAGUGUCACUUGUCUGAUGCCUCUUGUUUAUUUUCCCCACAGCUCUCCGCCAGCCCCUGUCCACGGGGCUCUCCUGCACAGCCACGCUUCUCCAAAGGCCUGUCUCCACUUGCUGUCUUCCUUCCUCACCUCCAAUUUCCUCUUCAAUCCACUGCUUCCUGCCUUCUCUACUCCGUCGAGCGGCUUUCACUAAGGUCAUCCCAUGGCCUGCCCCGCCCCUGUGAGUCCCCAGCCCUGCUCACCCCACGUCACCCCAGGUCUCCAGUUGGUUUGGGAGCUGCCACCCUGGCCUUUGGCUUUUCCCAUCACUGCUCAUUCCCAUGAGCCACCUCCCUCCACCGAAAACCAGACUUCUGGUUGACCCGGGGCCGGGUCAGCUGAAGAACUGACAGAAGAGGCAGAAGAGCCUCCGGAGGACACCGCCCUGGACCAAGCCCUCCUUCCCAACCCCGCGCCCAGCCUCUCGCCUCCGUCCUGGUUUGGGACGAAGCCAUCGUCCGGAAUUCGUCGUGGGACGGGACCUCAGACACAAGCCCCCGCACCCUCCACCUGCGAAAUCCCUCCACAGCCACGGGGACGCCCUGCUCACAUUCCCUCGGGACAGGCUGGACCCAAAGACUCUGGACCCGGCUGCCCCCUGCAAGGAGGGGUGUGCCCUCCUCCUCAGCCUCCCCUGCGGUAGUCGCCCACCCUAUGCGGAUGGACUUCAUUGAGCUGAGGGUCAGACACGUGGGCUUGACGCCUGCCCACACCUUACGAACCCUGAGACUUAGGGGACUGGCUGUGCCUUCGCCAUCCGCAUCUGUGAAAGGGGCUCUGCACCUACCUCACAGGGUUGUUGUGAGGAGUCUGUGAUGCGGUCUGAAAGUGCCCAACCUGGGGCUUGGCACAUCCUAUUGUGCUCUCAAUAAAUAUCUUUUUUUUGCCUUAACAAA